rnacentral:tRNA from 1 species
UAAUUUAAUUUAAUCUCUACCAGUUUUGCAUUCUGGAUUGGAGCCAGUUUUAUGGCUUUAAAUUAC